rnacentral:pre_miRNA from 1 species
CGUCUAAGUGGUUGUGAUUAGUUUUGUUAUUUCUUAUCACAGCCUGCUUAGAUCGGC